UACGUAGGGUGCAAGCGUUUGUCCGGAAUUAUUGGGCGUAAAGAGCUCGUAGGCGGUCUGUCGCGUCUGCUGUGAAAACCUAGGGCUUAACUCUGGGCGUGCAGUGGGUACGGGCAGGCUAGAGUGCGGUAGGGGAGACUGGAAUUCCUGGUGUAGCGGUGAAAUGCGCAGAUAUCGGGAGGAACACCGGUGGCGAAGGCGG
rnacentral:rRNA from 1 species